CGGGGCGUGGCGCAGCUGGUAGCGCACUCGCUUUGGGAGCGAGGGGUCGCCAGUUCGAGUCUGGCCGCCCCGACCA
rnacentral:tRNA from 1 species